AUUCUUGGUCAUUCCAUUUUUCCAAUAUCAUUAUUGUGACUAUUAUUGCUACUGUUCCUCACACCCCCAACCGGCACUUUCAGACACCGCCUAACACAAGCCUGGGUUUGUCCAAGGUUUCUCCUUAAAAAUAAGUUUUUUCCUUAC